rnacentral:lncRNA from 10 species
CAGUGAUUGCUCGGGUGUUAGUGUCUUUUAGCAUCCCAAUGCAUAAUAAUGAGCAUAUAAUGAGCAACGAGGGUAACCAGAGGUUGCUUAUGUAGCCAUCUUCCUUCUAACUGGUUUGGGCUUUUUUUUUUUUUUUUUUUUAAAGGAAUCAUGUCUUAUCAAGAGGGUAUUGUGACCUGUGUCUUGGGGACCUAGCCUCCUGUUUGUCUUGCAAAACUAGUCCUGCCAAACUCCUAUCUCACUGUGAGCCAGGAGCAACAAAAGGUUUGUACCCCCCUCCCCUUCCUGGGUUGCUCUGUAUUUCAAGCCCUGAUUGUGAGUAGUUUAUGAAGGCAUCCUCAGUAUGUGUCUGUUCAGCUCCACAAGCGUUGGCAUCUCCUGGCUGGUUUGGGACCAUUGAACCCUGCCAUUGGUAGAAUCCAUCUUUCUUUAAGGUGACUGGAGCUCCUUUGUGGUUUCAGCCACUGACUCCUGGACAUGUGGGUUUUGAUGGCCAUUGGACCCCUCUUGAGCCUGGGAACAGCUCCGUGCCUGCUGGAAACCCAGCACAGCAGCCCACACAUACCUGAUUUUACAUCCUCACAGAGCUAAGGGCAUUGGCAGGCAUGGUGGCUCAACACAGCAAGUGAUCUAGUGCCCAGCCUCAGGUUUGUUCACGGUCCUGACCUGGUGGCAUAUGACAUGCACUCUGGACCUGCUUACCUCCAGGACUGUUCUUCCAGGUUUAAUGGACAGAACUCCAUGGGUUCAGUCUUGUGACAAGGCCAGCAAUAUAGUUGAGAUAGGAAAAGAGGUAAAUAACACUGGCUAGUACUGAGUGUCUGUUUUUACAGUAUGUUUUGUCUUGUAUAUAGGCCAGAAACCAGCUAUUCAAAUAAGCAGGGGAUUAACACUAAUUUGCCUUGCAAAUUGGUUCAGAACCUGAUAGGAUUAAGGUGAAAAUUGUAUCAUUCUGGAAGAUACUCUGAAAACGCUUCUGGGUUGCUAUGAUUGAAUCAGCCAAGGAAAGGGAGCAAUGGAGAUGUCCCACUGGUGGCACGAACCAGUUACUUACUGUCUAUUCACUACACAAAGUGUGUCCUUAUUGCAGAGCAGCCUAGACAAUUACACCUACUAUGUCUCAUUCUUCUUGCAUAUUUUAGAGGCAUUGAGCAGUUGUAGAUAGGAGACACAAUGAGGUUAGAUCAUAGUCCAAGAUCAGAAAGCUAAUUCUGCUAGAAUCUGGAUUCAGAGUCCAGGUCCUGCAGCAUACCAAUCACAUAGAGUAAUGAAUAAAAUAGGCUAGGUUGUGAAAAGGAGCAUCCCAGGACUUUCUUAAAUCCAUACAUUUUCUUUUUUUGUCUACACUCAUCUAACUACAUGAAAGGGAGACCUCAAAGGUGCGAUGAUUUUUAUACCUAAGGAGAAAAUAAGUUUAAUUGAUGUAACAUUUUCAACAGUGUUUUGUGCAGGCCUUGAUCCUAUUUUAUGUAAUUAGGUGCAUUCUGUCAGUUAUUCGUUUUUAUCUCUUUUCCUACUUCUACUGAGAUUCUUCUUAUUAGUAACUACUUUACUUCUAGCUAUUUUAUUUUUAUUUCUAUUGUGUGUUUUGUAGCAAUCAGUCUUAUAUGCGACACAAUUUUAUGUAUAUAUAUUUUUAAUUCUUCCAAAAAGUAUUGGGUGUAUAUCUUAUUUCAUUUAUUAUUUUUCGCUUAUUGGCAUAUUUCUAAGAUUUUUAUAGGUACACUUCAUUUGCUGCUUCCAACUUCAACAUAUCAGCUUCUAAUGAGCCUCUGCCAGACUUUCCCUCUCCAGUGUCCCACAGGGGGCACUCAGAUGCCACCUAAUCAACAAUAUUUCGUAUGUUAGUCUCAUUCUCAUGAGAGAAUUUAUUUAGGAUAUACAUCGUCCUUCAGCAAAAUUAUUCAUCGAAAAUGCAUAACCUAAUUUUAUGGAGUAUUGCCAGAUUGUUCUUUAAAUGAAUGAAACAUUUGUCCUCCAAAAAUAGUCCAUGAGAAUUACUGUAUACAUUUAUUCCCUACGGAUACUUGGAUUGACCCAACCAUCUAAUAUUUGCUGCGUGUUUCUGAAGGGAGAAGCCUGCGGUGGUUUAGCAGCUGUCUGAUUCAGUGUUUACUGAUUUCUGACAGUAUCUUCUUUUAGGGAGCCAAUUUGCAAUGUGGUUCAGAAAAAUCAUUCCCUGACACUCAGUCUAAAAUCUGUGUCUACACUUUUCUAUCAGAUUUUUUUUUCAUUUUUUUCUUUUCAUUUUUUUUUUUUUUUUUGAGACAGAGUCUUGCUCUGUCGCCCAGGCUAGAGUGCAGUGGCACAAUCUUGGCUCACUUUAACCUUUCCUUCCUACGUUCAAGCUUUUCUCCUGCCUCAGCGUCUCAAGUAGCUGGGAUUACAGGUGCCUGCCACCACACCUAGCUAAUUUUUUCUUUUAAAAAUUAAAAGAAAGUGGAGACGAGGUUUCACCAUAUUGGCCAGCCUGGCCACGAACUCAUGACCUCAAGCAAUCUGCCUGCCUCGGCCUCCCGAAGUGCUCGGAUUACAGGCGUGAGCCACCACAGCUGGCCUCUAUCAGAAUUUUUUUUUUUUUUUUUUUUUUUGAGACAGAGUCUCUCUCUUGUUGCCCAGGCUGGAGUGCCGUGGCACGAUAUCCGCUCACUACAAUCGCUGCUUCCUGGGUUCAAACAAUUCUCCUUCCUCAGCUUCCUGAGUAGCUGGGAUGACAGGCACGUGCCACCACACCUGGCUAAUUUUUGUACUUUUAGUAGAGACGUGGUUUCACCAUGUUGGUCAGGCUGAUCUCGAACUCCUGACCUUGUGAUCCACCUGCCUCAGCCUCCCAAAGUGCUGGGAUUACAAGCAUGAGCCACAGCGUUUGUCCUAGAUUUUAAUGAUGUUUAUACCAUAAUAAAUCUUUUUAUGCUUAUACUAUUUGAGAGUGUUUUGUUUCUUUUCCUAAAAGCCAUAAAAGAAAUACAACAGUAACAUCACACUUAAUAUGGUUACUCUGAAUCCGGAGUUGAACUAUUGGAAUUUAGAUUAGUCCCUCUAAAGAUAAAGCUGAAUCUCCAGUUUAUACAAUGUAGUAAUUUAUCCAAGGUCAUGGGACAAAUAUGUACAUGUUUCUUAAAAGUACCUCCUGAAUGAGCUGAGGUUCUCUCAGAAGAUAGCAAGAUAUUAUUGUAAGGUGUUCUCUCUUUCUUUGAAAAGAGAAAGGAAUUCAUCAUGCUUCCCCCUGCUCUGCUGAAAAUAUAUGAGAUGUGGCCUAACUUUGUAGUUGUCAGGCUACCUUACAGGCAUGUAAAUAUGCGAAUGCCAACUCAAUACUAGUGUGCCCUCUCUCUUCUAUUUGGUACACAGCAGUCUUUUGUUGUGAGAAUUGUGUUAUUUCACCAACAGUGGAUAUAUUCCAUUCUUUUCUUCCUCCUAAGUGGACUGUGCCGAGAAGCAGUUAUUCAUAAGGCCUCUCAGAAGAUGGUUUCAUGAGAUCAAACAACCAUUGUUGUUCAGAGCAGCUUCAAAUUUG